GGCCUGAUGGCGGAGUGGUUACGCAGCGGUCUGCAAAACCGUUUACUCGAGUUCAAUUCUCGAUCAGGCCUCAA
rnacentral:tRNA from 1 species